ACUAGAUCGUAUUAGGUUGCUGCAAAAGUAAUUGUGCUUUUUCUGUUAAAACUAAUGGCAAAAAUCACAAUUACUUUUGCACCAACCUAAUA
rnacentral:miRNA from 1 species